GCCGGGAUGGGGUAGCUUGGUUAUCCUAGGGGACUGUGGAUCCCUUGACUCGGGUUCAAAUCUCGGUCCCGGCCCCA
rnacentral:tRNA from 1 species